rnacentral:tRNA from 1 species
ACCUGGCUGGCUCAGUUGGAAGAGCAUGAGACUCUUGAUUUUAGGGUUGCAAGUUCGAGCCCAGUGUUGGGUG